rnacentral:lncRNA from 1 species
AGGCAGCUUCAAGUAUUUUUAUAUGUAGUUAAAAAGCUCCACUUACUUGAAGUCUUGUAUUAUGCUCUGUGAAAGGAAGAAGAUUGAAAUAAAGACUGUGAACUGGGAAGAAUGGCCAAGCCUGGCUUAUAGGUGCUCUAAGAAAUCUGUCCCAUGA